GGCGCUUUCCUAAAGGAAGCAGCGUGGUCUGGGAGGGCACGGUGGCCCUGGCAAGCGACUGACAUGGUGGCCGCCGGCGACGCCCCUCCUGCUUUGCGACCUUGGGAAGCCCCCGACUGCAGUGGCGCCUGGAGAUACUCUAGUGCUAACUCUAACAUCAGGGACUGCGCUGCCUGCCUCUUCCGUAGAUGACUUAGGCCAUAAUACAAUUUGGCUGGAAUUAUCACAGUUGAGAGUACAGGAAAUAUAAAAUGGAGCUGAUCAUACUGGAGGAAUCCACUAUGGCGAAAAAGCUGUCUUAAUCAUCCACAUGGAAACGAUUGAGGUUGGAGGAGAGGAAGAACCACAGACAGGAGAAAGGCCAAGU